UACGAAGGUGGCAAGCGUUGUUCGGAUUUACUGGGCGUACAGGGAGCGUAGGCGGUUGGGUAAGCCCUCCGUGAAAUCUUCGGGCCUAACCCGGAAAGUGCGGAGGGGACUGCUCGGCUAGAGGAUGGGAGAGGAGCGCGGAAUUCCCGGUGUAGCGGUGAAAUGCGUAGAGAUCGGGAGGAAGGCCGGUGGCGAAGGCGGCGCUCUGGAACAUUUCUGACGCUGAGGCUCGAAAAGCGUG
rnacentral:rRNA from 1 species